UAUUAAAGACCUAGUAAUAGGUAUGCUUUAGGAGGGGCUUGCGCCAUAUUAGUUAGUUGGUAGGGUAAUGGCCUACCAAGACGAUGAUGUGUAGCUGGACUGAGAGGUUGAACAGCCACAUUGGGACUGAGACACGGCCCAAACUCCUACGGGAGGCAGCAGUAGGGAAUUUUCGGCAAUGGAGGAAACUCUGACCGAGCAACGCCGCGUGAAUGACGAAGUACUUCGGUAUGUAAAGUUCUUUUAUCAAGGAAGAAAAGCAAAUGGCGAACCAUUUGUUUGCCGGUACUUGAUGAAUAAGCCCCGGCUAAUUAUGUGCCAGCAGCCGCGGUAAGACAUAAGGGGCAAGUGUUAUCCGGAAUUAUUGGGCGUAAAGGGUGCGUAGGCGGUCUAGUAAGUCAGUGGUGUAAUGGCAACGCUUAACGUUGUCCGGCUAUUGAAACUGCUAAACUUGAGUUAGAUAGAGGCGAGUGGAAUUCCAUGUGUAGCGGUAAAAUGCGUAAAUAUAUGGAGGAACACCAGAGGCGUAGGCGGCUCGCUGGGUCUUAACUGACGCUGAGGCACGAAAGCGUGGGGAGCAAACAGGAUUAGAUACCCUGGUAGUCCACGCCGUAAACGAUGAGUACUAAGUGUCGGGUUAAACCGGUACUGAAGUUAACACAUUAAGUACUCCGCCUGAGUAGUACGUACGCAAGUAUGAAACUUAAAGGAAUUGACGGGACUCCGCACAAGCGGUGGAUCAUGUUGUUUAAUUCGAAGAUACCCGAAAAACCUUACCAGGUCUUGACAUGUUUUUGCAAAAUGAUAGUAAUAUCGUGGAGGUUACCAGAAACACAGGUGGUGCAUGGUUGUCGUCAGCUCGUGUCGUGAGAUGUUAGGUUAAGUCCUAAAACGAGCGAAACCCUUAUCGUUAGUUGCCAGCACGUUAUGGUGGGGACUUUAACGAGACUGCCAAUGAUAAAUUGGAGGAAGGUGAGGAUCACGUCAAAUCAGCAUGCCCCUUAUGACCUGGGCUACAAACGUGAUACAAUGGCUGUUACAAAGGGUAGCUGAAACGCAAGUUCUUGGCCAAUCCCCAAAAACAGUCCCAGUCCGGAUUGAAGUCUGCAACUCGACUUCAUGAAGUUGGAAUCGCUAGUAAUCGCGA
rnacentral:rRNA from 1 species